CACCUGACCCCAUGCCGAACUCAGAAGUGAAACGCCGUAGCGCCGAUGGUAGUGUGGGGUUUCCCCAUGCGAGAGUAGGGAACUGCCAGGC
rnacentral:rRNA from 2 species